rnacentral:rRNA from 1 species
UACCAGCACCCCGAGUGGUCGGGACGUUUAUUGGGCCUAAAGCAUCCGUAGCCGGUUCUACAAGUCUUCCGUUAAAUCCAACUGCUUAACAGGUGGGCUGCGGAAGAUACUAUAGAGCUAGGAGGCGGGAGAGGCAAGCGGUACUCGAUGGGUAGGGGUAAAAUCCGUUGAUCCGGUGAAGACCACCAGUGGCGAAGGCGGCUUGCCAGAACGCGCUCGACGGUGAGGGAUGAAAGCUGGGGGAGCAAACCGG